UUUUAGGGCUCGUCUGGUAGCCCAAACACCAUUCCAGCGACCCGGGAUUCGUCCGCUGGGUUUCAGCCCUACAUCUACUACUAUCGGCCUCUCCGUGUCAACUCCAUCACGGUGGUGAGCAGGUAUAAGGGUUGGGCUUUUCACGAUUAGGCUGAAACCGUUUCAUUAGUACCAUUUUGCCCUCCGAAUACUUCAACCGUUUCGUUUUUCUUAUCGUUGGUCACUCAAUUUCCGUCGAGGCGACUUCGACGCUCGACAGUCGUCUCUUCCCGGUUCGACUCAAUUCAGAUCGGCGUUCGUCGGCUUACCGUAGUCCGGUGUCAAUGAAAAAGGUAGCUGAAAUGGACGCGGAGUCAACAAAUAGAGGAGAGGAACUUGGUCUCUGUAGGGUACAAGAAUGUGAUCGGGUCGAGAAGAGGUUUCGUGGAGAAUCUUAUCUUCAAUUGAGCAGAAGGAAUAGUCGAGGGGAAACGAGCAGAAUGCGAAGGAUUGGGCGGAAACCUAUCGCCAUAUUUGUCCCACAAAUUUGGAAUGAGCGACGAAGGAGAGAGGGGUAAUUGGAAAUUGGACAAAACACCCUACAAUUCUAUCCACCAAAUCAAGAAAGCCCAUUUACCAUAAACCCAUGUUAAAUAUUUUACCACCUACCGGACGCCCCCGGAGUUGGACUUGUGCAUUGCUUUGGCAGUAGUAAUGAUGAGUUAACAUGUCA